GCUGGUUAGUAAGGAAAGCAUAGCUCUGCUUUUCCUGAUGUGAGAGAAGGUUGGCUGCAGGCCAGAGACUGAGGUACUUUGCCAGUUGGCUGAGUCUCUUGGUGGAAGAGCCAACCAAACUCUGGGAGACUGGCUGGAGUAUGGUUUAUUUGAAGGCCUGACUAGAAGGUUGGAAUCCUGUCAAAAAUUUGAUGGAAAACACUGUUUUGAGUUGUGACUUAUUUUGGACUUUAACACCCCUGAAAGGGUAAGACUGAAGUGUGCCUUGGCCAGAGGGCUGAAACACUGCUAUAUCAGACCCAUGAGAGACUGUGCCCUUCCAGUGCAGACCUGUGGCUGAGUUGACCCAAAAAAACUGGACAGAUAUGAGUACCUGUCCAGAGAGGACUGGCACUUUACCACUUGUGUACCAUGUGCAUACCACUGACAAAUAAUCUUAACUACUUCCUGAGAGCUGUUGGAUGGAGCUGUGUGAAACUCUUCACUUCUGGGGCACAACUCUCCAAGAUCCAAGAAUAGUCCACUGCCGCCUGCCUUACAAGGAAUCGCUAAAGUCAAGUCUGCCUGGGGAGCACUGUGCAUCUGUGGCUCCCCUCUUUAACAGUUAGAACUGAACUUAACAGAAAACGGCUUCUGGUCUCUGCAGAUGGCAGUGUCCUUAGAGGCUCAAAGGUGCAGUACCAGGAAACAGUCAGAACAGUUUCAUAGCUAUAUGUAUAAAUAUGAUCCAGCAGAGCCAUAAUUAAGUAUAUGACUGAUAUGUAAUGCCUGCUACAGGUUUUUUUUCUCAACUCUAUUAAAUAAAACGAUACUGGUGGGAAAUUCAGUGAAGUUAUUCCUGGAGUUCAGCAAGAGGGCUAAUGAGAUCACAAACAAUGUUCCUUUUAGGCCUUUGGCAGUAGGAGUCCCAAAUUCCCACCAUUAGAGCUAACACAUUUUAAAUUGCAUCCUAAGCCCCAGCGCUAAAGAAUGUUCACAUUCUGGAUAGCAGCCAAGAGGUAACUUAAUGUUUGUAAUAAAUACAUGCUAAAAUAUGUCUUUCUACUGCAACUGCCUCAAAGUUUGCACACGGGGGCCCAGUCCCAGAGGCAUAAGCUAACAAAGCUAACCUCUGCUUUUUGGCUAUUUGAAAAUCAUUAACCAUUUUUUUUCCUCCCCACAACCAACAUAUGAUAGGAUCACAGCAAGAGUCCACACUUCAAAAUGGAAGGUGCAUUCAAAAAAGCUGUAGGGUUUGUUGAAUUAGAGUGGGGGGUUACUUGGCGGAAGCAGUGCAUGUAAAAAUCAAAGAGAAGUUUCUGAAAAGCAUUCAAGAGUUGGCCUAAGCCUUCUGUCAUUGCAAUCAAUGAUACAUGACUUCCCUGGGAGCUGAGUUCUCUUUCUCAACUUUCAAAAUGAGCAAAGGGUACAGCUUAAAGAAAAGAAUGGCAAUGUUCUAAUCAGGACAGGCUCAGGAGCAGCAUUUCAGCAUUAGAGCUGGCUUUCACAACAAAAUUUAAAAUUUUGAAGUUGUUUCUAUUUCACAGAAAAACCAGGAUAUCACCGUUAGGAACAGAGGACUGGAAGGGAUAUCCUGGGUCACCAAGGCCCAUCCCCAGCUAUUGCAGGCAACAUCUCGUAAUCCCGUUCCUAAACUUAUCAAGCUCCAUCUUAAACUAAAGGGUUUGAAAUGGACCCAUUUCCAUGUUUAGUGAUAUUUCAACUAACUUUUUAAUGGAAAUUUUACCAACUUGUAUCAAAAUCCUUUUGAAACCCUUACAGAAAUGUUAUAUUUACUGAAAACCAUGUGUUUUUAUUUAUAACUAGAUAUUUGUCAAUAUUUUUGUGUUUGCCAAAAUGUCAGUUAAAAUAUUGACAGACACCUGUGGAAAGGGAAGCUGUCUAGAAUGUCAACUUUUGCAAAAACUAGAUAUUUUAAAUUACAAUUUUUUGAACACACAAAAAAGCUUUUCAUACAAAAAAUGUUAAGCAGCUUUAAUAGCUCGAGAUCCCACAUGA